rnacentral:rRNA from 1 species
GAUGAACGCUGACAGAAUGCUUAACACAUGCAAGUCAACUUGAACUUCGGUUUGGGUGGCGGACGGGUGGGUAACGCGUAAAGAACUUGCCUCACAGAUAGGGACAACAUUUGGAAACGAAUGCUAAUACCUGAUAUUAUGAUUAUAUGGCAUCGUAUAAUUAUGAAAGCUAUAUGCGCUGUGAGAGAGCUUUGCGUCCCAUUAGCUAGUUGGAGAGGUAACGGCUCACCAAGGCGAUGAUGGGUAGCCGGCCUGAGAGGGUGAUCGGCCACAAGGGGACUGAGACACGGCCCUUACUCCUACGGGAGGCAGCAGUGGGGAAUAUUGGACAAUGGACCAAGAGUCUGAUCCAGCAAUUCUGUGUGCACGAUGAAGUUUUUCGGAAUGUAAAGUGCUUUCAGUUGGGAAGAAAAAAAUGACGGUACCAACAGAAGAAGUGACGGCUAAAUACGUG